AACGAACGCUGGCGGCAGGCCUAACACAUGCAAGUCGAACGAGAAGUCAGAGCUUGCUCUGAUGGACAGUGGCAGACGGGUGAGUAACGCGUGGGAAUUUACCCAGUGGUACGGGAUAACUCAGGGAAACUUGAGCUAAUACCGCAUAAGCCCUUCGGGGGAAAGAUUUAUCGCCAUUGGAUGAGCCCGCGUUAGAUUAGCUUGUUGGUGAGGUAAAAGCUCACCAAGGCUACGAUCUAUAGCUGGUCUGAGAGGAUGAUCAGCCACACUGGGACUGAGACACGGCCCAGACUCCUACGGGAGGCAGCAGUGGGGAAUAUUGCACAAUGGGCGCAAGCCUGAUGCAGCCAUGCCGCGUGAGUGAUGAAGGCCCUAGGGUUGUAAAGCUCUUUCAUCGGUGAAGAUAAUGACGGUAGCCGAAGAAGAAGCCCCGGCUAACUCCGUGCCAGCAGCCGCGGUAAUACGGAGGGGGCUAGCGUUGUUCGGAAUUACUGGGCGUAAAGCGCGCGUAGGUGGAUUGGUCAG
rnacentral:rRNA from 1 species